CGGCACCGAGCCCCAGGACUGCGGGCUGGGCCAGCACUGAGCCCCGGGACCACGGGGCUGGGCCAGCCCUGGCACUGCCACUGAGCCCCUCGGACCGUGGGGCUGGGCCAGCCCUGGCACCAGCACUGAGCCCCUCAGACCGCCAGGUACCACCAGGGCUGCAACAGCUUCAACCCCGUCUGGUUUCCUGAAAGGUGUAGACCUUUUUUUCUCGUGGGAAAGAAACUGUUACCAACUUUUGCACAUAAUACCUUAGCAGUAUCCCAGAGGUGGCAAACGAUCAGGUUCACUGUAUGUAUUAGAGUUGUGUAUUGUUUAUUGAGCUGAGAACUGGAGAAAGGAUUUCUGUAAAAAAGCAAAACGUACAUUAUUUUUAUACCAGUCAAUUGCAGACGCUUAUAUUUAAGUAUAGUUAUUUGUUUAAACAUGGUGGAGACUUUCUUACACUGGUUUUAGUCUGCAUGUGUUCAAAGAUUUUUACAAAAAAUAAAAUAUAAAGCUUUUUUUUUUUUUUUUUACUGCCUGUUGGAUGCCAAAUCCGUGGAAACUAAAGUUGAUUUUCUUACAUGCCAGGGCUUUGACCCAUGUGCCUGAGUGGGACUCGGGGUGUGGGUGUGCUGCUGUUGGGAGGGGAAAAUUGGGAGAGCCUUGGAUGUUUGUAUCCUCAGGGGGUGCAGCUGGGAAGCCCCACAGCAGUUGGAAUAAAUGGUCAUGGACUUCUCUGAAGCAGCUUCUGGGCUGCUGCUGUUCUGUGUGGGAGCAGGAACUGCUGGGACACUCCUGGAGCUGGAGCUGCUGUGAGAGCUGCAAGGGGAGAGGAGGAAUCGGGUCUGGUUCUUCAGCUGCUGCUCAGGCAGCACCAAGCCCCGGAGCCUGCAGGUGCUGCAGGCUGGUCCCUGUCACGGGCAGUGCCAGGCUCUGCCAGGCAGAUGUUCCACAGCCCUCGGAAAGGAGAGGAAACCUGAGCAGCAGCUCCGUGCCUGCUACAUCUCUGUCCUCUGUCCUGCUGGGCCCCCUCUGCAGCUGCUCUGGAAAGGCUGAAAGUUUGUUACUGAUACUGGAAGGAUGAGUGUGGACCAGGAGCUUUGGAUGGUUUGGGAAGAGAAAAAAUGAACAAUCAGAGAAUAUUUUUGGUGGAAAUUGGCCCAACAGGUCCCUCUCAAGGGUUCAGUCACCCCAAACCCACAGGUGAGUGGCAGCAGGUGAUAAAGGCCCUUUUCCCAGGAAAGCUUUCCCUGGUUGCUGCUCCUGCCAGGAAAUGCUCAUAGAAUCCAGGAUUUCACAUCAGGAUUUUGGGGGGUUUUUGGGUCUGUGACUCUCCUGUCCGUGCUCCUUGUCACUUCCAAGCUCCCUGGGGCAGGAAGCAAAGCCUCCUGGCCAGGCUGGCAAUCACAUCCACUUUGGAAAAAGCACUCCAGCAAAGGAAACAGCUUUCCAUCCCCUCCUCUUGCCUGGCCACAGCCCAGCAGGGCCAUUCAAACAAAAGUUAAAAUUAGUAAAGCUGGCCUGAAGAAAAAGUCUUUAUAUUCCAGUGGAAGGAGAAAACUUGGCAAAAGUGACCAUUUUUGUCCCAGGAUGGAGAAUCCUCCUGGAUGGGUUUGCUGGAGAGAACAAGGGGCUCGUGUCCCCACCCUG